AGAGGCCUGGACCUGGGGCUUAUUCCUCAAGGGGCCCUGGCUUCACACUGCAAAAUCUUCCUUCUUCAGACCUACACAGCUUUGGCCCCUACUGUACUGGAGUCUCCAGCAGAGUCACUUGGGCGGAGAGUUGCUAGAGAAUUUAUUCUAUAGAGGCUUCAAAUAUCAGCUCUUAAUUGUUUAGGCAUUGCUGCCACAUCUUUUUCUCCUGUGUAACCUAAAUCCCAUGUGUGAGCUCCUUCAGCGUCUCAGAGAUCAAGAAAGAAAGAAAGUCAUCGAGCAAAGUAAAAAGCCCCUACACGGGAGAGCCAGACUAAUUCUCCAUCGCUGAAGAUGGUCAAAGAGGAGGUUUUAUUAGUGCUCUGCAGGUGUUGAAAACAGAUUUCCUUCCUGCAAGAGCCCCACAGGAGCAGCCACCGAGCUCUGGAAACACCGGUGGCCCAACAUGGCCAGGAGAACCCCUGCAGGGAAGAAAGAGAUUGUCUACAUUAUAAAAUGCAAAUAUAAUGUGAAAAAGGUCACGAGGGCGGCUAAGAUGCUGCAGACGCUACCAAUAUACUUGUUUUCCGAUGAAGACUGCCGUUAACAGUGUUUCUAGCACACCUAGAUGUCCACGGACCAAGAAAUCCAGAAAGGCCACGGGCGACAGCACAGCACAACUCAGCCGUGGACAUCUGCCGGCUGCAGAUGGAGCACGGGUCCCGCAGGUGGGGGUAGGAAGAGGAGACGGCGAGUUGAGUGUGGACAGCCCUGUCUUCACAGGCCUUAUCCUUACUGUCUACAGGAUGAUGUGGCAGUCACAUUUCUCCGCGCUUUCACGGUGCUGCCAGAAGCAGCUCUGAUUUUCUUGUCUGACUUUUUCUGCUCAGGUCUGCCACUUGUGAAUGAAGGAUCUUAAGAGCUGUAUUAUUAGUCAGCUACUGCUGCACUGAAGCUCUGUGAAAGACAGCCCUAAAUCUCUCUGCAGUUUACAAUCCUAAACAUUAUGUCCUUGUUUGUGGUUCUCUCAGUCAGCUAAGAUUUGGCUGAUCCAGGCUGGGCCGGACAGGGUCCCAGGUUGCCAGUCUUGUUGCGGUCUGCUUCACAUCACGGGGGUUAUGAUGUCAGAUCACAGAAAUGCAAGGUUCCAGGAACAAACAUGAGCCGGCGAGCCGUACUGUGUGAUGGCGCUCAGAGAAUUCAGCCCACACUGUCUCUUCCACUCAUGUUUUUUUUGGUCAGAGCAAGUCAUACAUGGCCUGGCUCAAGAUCGGUAAGGCAGGGAGGUAAACAGUGCCUACGUGAGUGAGAGAGACUGCCAAGUCACAGGGCAAGGAGGAAAUUCAUGUCAUUCAGAGACAGCAUCCAUAACUGGGAACAGUUAUCUAAUCAGCUAUAAGGAGUUGCCAUUUUCCUCAAAGAGCAAAACCUCACAGUGAGACCUAGAAGGAAGUAGCCUCUUUCCAUGGACUGGAGUUGAUGCCAGCCUGUGGUGCUGAAACCCGUGUCACUGCCCCUGUGUGGUUGGAGCUGAAAUGGCCUUCACUGUAGAGACUUGAUGAGUCUGGUCCCUGGCUUCAGAUAAAUUUUGGGCCUACUGCUUCACAGUCGGUGAAGGAAACGUGCCAUCUUUCUUUGCGGAAUUCUUGCCUGUUUAUUUCCUUCCUCCUGCCCCAGACCCACAGUUGUCAUGCUGCUCCAACCCGCUCGCUGAUAGCUACUCCUGCUCGGCUGCCAGGCCGCUCUGGAGGCCCUCUGCCCUCCCCUCUCAUCUGGCCCAGGGCUGUGAUGCUGCCAAUACUGGCUACAACUCUGGAGCUCAGUGAUGGAUGACAGGCUUGAGGGUGGGCUGAGGGGUUUGUUGCAGGGCCUGUCUUUAGACGUGGAGGCCUUUUUCUCCACUAAGAACCUUUAUAUGUGCCCACCCCCAAAAGAAUCUCACAGACCCAUAGGAC
ensembl:lncRNA